GAUGAACGCUGGCGGCGUGCCUAAUACAUGCAAGUCGAGCGAAUGGAUUAAGAGCUUGCUCUUAUGAAGUUAGCGGCGGACGGGUGAGUAACACGUGGGUAACCUGCCCAUAAGACUAGGAUAACUCCGGGAAACAGGGGCUAAUACCGGAUAACAUUUUGAACCGCAUGGUUCGAAAUUGAAAGGCGGCUUCGGCUGUCACUUAUGGGUGGACCCGCGUCGCAUUAGCUAGUUGGUGAGGUAACGGCUAACCAAGGCAACGAUGCGUAGCCGAACUGAGAGGGUGAUCGGCCACACUGGGACUGAGACACGGCCCAGACUCCUACGGGAGGCAGCAGUAGGGAAUCUUCCGCAAUGGACGAAAGUCUGACGGAGCAACGCCGCGUGAGUGAUGAAGGCUUUCGGGUCGUAAAACUCUGUUGUUAGGGAAGAACAAGUGCUAGUUGAAUAAGCUGGCACCUUGACGGUACCUAACCAGAAAGCCAUGGCUAACUACGUGCCAGCAGCCGCCGUAA
rnacentral:rRNA from 1 species